rnacentral:rRNA from 1 species
UCCACGCUGUAAACGAUGUCGAUUUGGAGGUUGUUCCCUUGAGGAGUGGCUUCCGGAGCUAACGCGUUAAAUCGACCGCUGGGGAGUACGGCCGCAAGGUUAAAACUCAAAUGAAUUGACGGGGGCCCGCACAAGCGGUGGAGCAUGUGGUUUAAUUCGAUGCAACGCGAAGAACCUUACCUACUCUUGACAUCCAGAGAAUUUAGCAGAGAUGCUUUAGUGCCUUCGGGAACUCUGAGACAGGUGCUGCAUGGCUGUCGUCAGCUCGUGUUGUGAAAUGUUGGGUUAAGUCCCGCAACGAGCGCAACCCUUAUCCUUUGUUGCCAGCACGUUAUGGUGGGAACUCAAAGGAGACUGCCGGUGAUAAACCGGAGGAAGGUGGGGAUGACGUCAAGUCAUCAUGGCCCUUACGAGUAGGGCUACACACGUGCUACAAUGGCGUAUACAAAGAGAAGCGACCUCGCGAGAGCAAGCGGAACUCAUAAAGUACGUCGUAGUCCGGAUUGGAGUCUGCAACUCGACUCCAUGAAGUCGGAAUCGCUAGUAAUCGUAGAUCAGAAUGCUACGGUGAAUACGUUCCCGGGCCUUGUACACACCGCCCGUCACACCAUGGGAGUGGGUUGCAAAAGAAGUAGGUAGCUUAACCUUCGGGAGGGCGCUUACCACUUUGUGAUUCAUGACUGGGGUGAAGUCGUAACAAGGUAACCA